AGGGGAGUUGUACUGUCUAACAUGUUCUGAGGUGGUGUCGCCUAGACAUUGUAAAGCCAUCCGCCGAUGUAGUGAAGGACAGGUAUGCUUCACUGAAGAAUACACAAGCAUAACAGGUGAAACGUUAUACAACGUUGGAUGCCAAAGUUCAUUGCGAUGCCAAUCAAACGUAAGGAAUCCAUUUUUAGAAAGAUUUAUAGGAUCACAGAAAUACGUGUAUAGUCCUGAUACCAGAGUAUGCUCUGAAUGUUGUUCUUCAGAUGGGUGUAACAGGAACGGCUGUGGGACAUUAGAUUAUCCGGAAAUAAGAGGACCUACAUGCUUUGACUGCCAACAAACUCGAAAUCCUAAGUUAUGUAGAUCAAUAGCCGUAUGUAAACAGUGGGAG